rnacentral:rRNA from 1 species
GGACUACUGGGGUAUCUAAUCCUGUUUGAUCCCCACGCUGUCGCGCCUGAGCGUCAGAAACGAGCCAGUGAGCCGCCUUCGCCACCGGUGUUCUUCCCAAUAUCUACGAAUUUCACCUCUACACUGGGAAUUCCACUCACCUCUCUCGUCCUCGAGUUUCACAGUUUCAAUGGCAGUUCCGGAGUUGAGCUCCGGGCUUUCACCACUGACUUGAGAAACCGCCUGCGCGCGCUUUACGCCCAGUAAUUCCGAACAACGCUAGCCCCCUUCGUAUUACCGCGGCUGCUGGCAC